rfam:Cajanus cajan chromosome 6, whole genome shotgun sequence.
AUACAUAGACAUUUCGGUAGCUUACUCAUCAGAACUUCACAGUUAAGCGUGCUUGACCUGGAGUAGUACUGGGAUGGGUGACCUUCUGGGAAGUCUCCUAGAAAUU